CCAGCAGCUGCGGUAAUUCCAGCUCCAAUAGCGUAUAUUAAAGUUGUUGCAGUUAAAAAGCUCGUAGUUGAAUUUCUGGCGCAGGCCAGCAUGUCCGCCUAUGGUGUGACGUGCUGACUGCACCAUCCUCGCAGCGAAAUCGUGCCAUUAAUUUGGUGCGGUGGAACUGCGUCCUUUACUGUGAAAAAAUUAGAGUGUUUAAAGCAGGCCUUGUGCUUGAAUACAUUAGCAUGGAAUAAUGAGAUAGGACUUCGGUGCUAUUUUGUUGGUUGCGUACUGAGGUAAUGAUUAAUAGGGACAGUUGGGGGUAUUCAUAUUUAACUGUCAGAGGUGAAAUUCUUGGAUUUGUU
rnacentral:rRNA from 1 species